CCUCCCCUCAUAGACCGGACAAACGCGGACGGAAUAUGAGACAAUGGUCACCUGAGCACAAAGAGGAACACCUGGUGAGGGGACAAGCAUCACGCCAAGGGUGUGUGCAGACCACUACCAGCAUGAAGCUGCAAAUCAAAGCAUCAGAGGUGUUUCAUCUCUUUGCUGGAGUCUCAGUUUUUCAGAUCCUCGCCCAGCAUCUACGAUCCAUGCGCACAAGGGAGAGACCUUGACGAGGCGCAUGAGAAGAAAACCAGCACAUUGGGGUAUGACUAAAACCUUCAAAGCAUUCUCCGUCAGCCAGAUCUUUUUUGUGAUUCAGCCUAUAAUACAGAUGAGCAGCACAUGGAAAAGGAUAUUCUGCUUUUUUUUUUUCUUCAUCUUCUACAGCAUGUGUUACUGUAUUUGUGUUUCACUGGACCUUGAGCUUCAUGGAGCCCCCGCAAAAUGAAGUGUGAGCUUGCAGCAGCUGCCAUUCGGCAUGUAGGACAGACAUACUGCCUCCUCUGAUGAGGUCGAGAGGAAAGACACAUUUUUUAAAAGGAGAAAGGAAAUAAGAGGAUUAGGGCUGAUAAUGUGUGUGCAACCACCCACUAUGACAAAGUGUGUCCUGUUGUGGAAUACCUGUGGCUCGUGAUGGAGGUUAUUUGCAGUGAAUUCAGACUCACAAAGAAGAAGCUUUUCAGUUAGUUUGUGGAGGUUGUGUUCGCAGCAGACGUGACGUAGCAGAGGGUCACUGGCAUGUGCAUUAUUUUAAUGUCUUUCUUUUUCUGGCGGUAAAAUGGACAUCCUGAAUAAACAAAAAAAAGAAGAAAAACUGAAUAAUAAUAAUAAUAGUAAUAAUAAAAUGCUUUUCCACACCUAAACCUUGGCAGGAGAUACCUGGAUAUAUUUUAAAGAGGGAAUUGGAUAACAGUGUUGAACAGAAACACAUCUUUUUUUUUAGAAAUGUUGUUAUCAAAGACGACUUUGUUCAAGUUGUAAAUCACUGGCUCGUGUUGUUCACCAUGUGCAAAGAAUUUACUUGUAACCAUGUGUUUGGAUCGCUUUCCAACAACAGCAACAGGAAAAGAAUCUGUGAUUCUCAAGGUUAACAUGGUCCAAUUUUUUCUGCAAUUUAAGUAAUUAGCAAACUUAGUGGGACUCAAAUUUAUUUGCUCAAAAGUAUAGCCAAAUGAAUUAGGAACGUGCCAAAAAAAAUAAAAAAAUAAAUUAUUCCCACAUUUGCUCUAUUAUCAAAUGUAGGUAAUAAAAGGUGGGAUUGAUGAAGAUGUUGGCAGAGAAGUGGAUAUUUGCUCUCUAUGCCAUAUUUACAUCUGGUAAAUCCCAGCCUGCAGGGUGAGUGAUUUGGCAUGUUGUGCUAUGCGCAAACAUCGAUAAGACAUAAAUAAAUAAAAUGAGGGAAAGGUGAUUAUGAAUGUCUGUUUGGAUUUUGUAGCCGGACAACUCUGACAAUAGGGUUUUAACAUCUUGAGCAAGCUCCCUCUUGCCAAGUGUCUAUCAGCUUCCUAAGUCGUCUCAGAUGUUUGGGUUUUAUUGGGACUUAAAACAGUUAUUAGUCUGAGCACAAACCCUGCUGGAUUUAUCUUUCGCUUAAUACGGAGCCACACAACAAUGAUCUCUGCUGAGAGUAAUAUCUGCUUUUUCCAUUUACUACUUUAAAUCAAAAACUAUUCCUUUUUAGAUUUAUGACAAGCAGAUGAAGUGGUAGUCAAUAUAAGACAUGAGCUAUCUCUUAAAAAAGAUUAGUAUCCUUGGAAUUUAGUUCUGAUGAAAUAAAAAGUUUACAGAGCCAGACUUAUUCAAAGUGAGCAGCUAAAAUGUUCUUCACAGUGGAUUAAUGGAAAACCUCCAUUAGUCAAUGGACAAUGCAGUCACAGCGGCUCUGUGCACAAGAGGAGAAAGUUUUUGUGUCAGACCAUACUGAAAGGGUUGGAGGAAAGGUGAGGCAUUCAUAUCAUCCACUGCAUGUUUCCUAACUUACAGCAUGUGGGUCAUUUCUACACCGGUAGCAUCACAACUGCUGCCUUUGUUUGAAAUCCUUUCCCCCGCUAUUUUAAAAAACUGCAAAUCCUCUGCUAAUAUCCCAGCAGGUCCUGCACCGGAGAGGCUGAUGGAUAUCCAAUACAUGUUCAUUCACAGUUACUAAAUUAUUGCAUUUAAAGCUGCUACAAUGAGUUUAUCAAGAGGAACUAAAUUGGCAGGACUAAUCGUCACGGAUCGUUUUUUGAGUCUGGUCUGUCUUUUCUGGUUCCAGCUUCUCUCAUGUUACAGCUUUGCUCAGAUUUACAUCAAAUAGAAAGUGAAUAUUAUUACGCCUUGGACUCAAACGAAAUAAAACAUUUGAAAACGUCGUCUUAGAAUUAUAUACAGUCUGUGCCUUAGAUGCGGGGAAAAAAGAUUAAUAGAAGACAUGAUCAUUCGAUGACUCAAAGAGAUAAUUAAAGAAAUUAGUCAUGGAAAUCAUUGUUAGUUCCAAAUGAGUUGAUAAUUUAUGUAGGAAAUGUAAAUUGAGAGCGCAUUUAUUUUAUUUCUUUGGUACUUCUAUGAUUGACAGUAAAUAAGACGUUUGAAUGUAGUUUUCUAAAGUGGAUUUUGUCUUUUACGCUUUUAAACUGCAGGUGAAAAUAACAACAGAAACAGUGGAAUAAUUAAAUAGUACUAUUCAGGUUUGAAAUUGUUCUACAUGUUCUUAAUGAAAAGGACAAAUUAAUAAAACUGAAA